rnacentral:lncRNA from 1 species
AGGCCAUCCAAAGUGGCAAGGACGACAGCCAGAGAGCAAAAUAAGCCAUGUCGGCCCAUGCGUGCUCUGCACUGCGUAUCUGGUUAGUUUGAUGCUUCAGAUUGGGCCGCUUAAUCCAGCUUUGGUUCACAUUGUAUUUUUCCCCUCUGUACAGGAUUUCAGGGUGGUUGUGCGCAUUGAUUCCUGGGAGACAACAUCGGUGUAUCCAAAUGGACACUUUGUGCGCGUCUUAGGGAGAAUCGGUGAUCUGGAAGGGGAGAUUGCGACCAUCCUGGUAGAGAACAGUAUUAACGUCGUCCCCUUCUCGGAAGCCCAGAUGUGUGAGAUGCCAGUGAACACAGCAGAAAACCCUUGGAAAGUGAGUCCCAAAGAAGAGCAGGAGCGGAGGGACCUGAGGAGCACCCACCUUGUGUUCAGCAUCGACCCUAAAGGUUGUGAGGACGUG